GGUGGGGGGAGUCAAGUCACAUUCACUGUCACCGUCUGCACUAAAGGCCUGGGUGCCGUGCUGACAGUGGUGGGAAAAGCCUUGUUCCCAAGAGACUUGGAAAUAACUAGAUGCAUUUGAGAAGGGUUGAUCUUGGGUGCGUGAGGACCCCUGUGGCAGCCAGAGGGGGUUCAGCAGAACAAGGGCCCUUGACACAGCAGGGGUGAACCACACAGAGCAGCGGAGGCCACAGGGAGACGGAAGGGCCUCUGUGCCACAGAAUGGACUUGAGGCCUGAGCUGCCAUCAGGGCCAGGCCCUCCCCAGCCCCAAGGCAGGCUCUGGAGAACCAGGGAAGGCGUGGGCUCACCGUCUGGCCCUUCCCAAAGCCCUAGGAAGCCACGUAGGUGUGCCCAGGGGCACCCAGAGAGCCCGGAGCAGCCUGGAGAAUGAGCCACCAGAGGCCAACUUGGUCAAGAGCUGAGCUGAGGCUCAGGUGCAGGAGAAGAAACUCACAGGGUGGCCAGAAAGCUGGGGACCAGCUCCGUCCUCUUUGUGCUCAGAGUUCUCAUGCCCCCAGGCUGAGACGGGAGUGAGGGACCCAAGAGGCGCGUUCCUCACGCUGUGCCCGGCAAACUGUGUGUCCACAUGGUUUCCCUGCGGCCCAGUCAGCCCAACGCAGAAAGAGAAAUCCCGGCCAGGCUCGGCAAAACAGGUCAGGCGAGAAGGCGGGGCAGAGAGUGGUGGAGGCCAAGAGCGUUUUUACACACCAGUUACUGGGUUGACCUCAGAUUAGCAUCAGGUAGAAGAAUCCGGGGUCACAGGGAGUCACGCCUGGGGCAGCCGCCUUGACACAUCCAGCUCCGUGCCUCUGACCUAGGACUGGCUGGGCUGGGGCUGUCCGCUGCCCUGGGGUCCUGGGCUCAUGGCCAGUUCCCUGCCACCAUCACUGAGGAGGGCUCCGCAGGAAAAGGACC
rnacentral:lncRNA from 1 species